rnacentral:rRNA from 1 species
CCCGGCGGCUCGCCCCCCCAGAGGGCUCCCCGCCAAGCAAACAAUUUUAGUAGUCACGGUGGGAGGUUGGCGCCGGAGGCAGCCCCGCACUCAGUAUGACUUCCGUAGGGGUGCCUGCGGAAGGAUCAUUACUGAGUGCGGGCUGCCUCCGGGCGCCCAACCUCCCACCCGUGACUACCUAACACUGUUGCUUCGGCGGGGAGCCCUCUCGGGGGCGAGCCGCCGGGGACUACCGAACUUCAUGCCUGAGAGUGAUGCAGUCUGAGUCUGAAUAUAAAAUCAGUCAAAACUUUCAACAAUGGAUCUCUUGGUUCCGGCAUCGAUGAAGAACGCAGCGAACUGCGAUAAGUAAUGUGAAUUGCAGAAUUCAGUGAAUCAUCGAGUCUUUGAACGCACAUUGCGCCCCCUGGCAUUCCGGGGGGCAUGCCUGUCCGAGCGUCAUUGCUGCCCAUCAAGCCCGGCUUGUGUGUUGGGUCGUCGUCCCCCCCGGGGGACGGGCCCGAAAGGCAGCGGCGGCACCGUGUCCGGUCCUCGAGCGUAUGGGGCUUUGUCACCCGCUCGAUUUAGGGCCGGCCGGGCGCCAGCCGACGUCCAACCAUUUUUUCUUCAGGUUGACCUCGGAUCAGGUAGGGAUACCCGCUGAACUUAAGCAUAUCAAUAAGCCGGAGAAAGAUCAUUACUGAGUGCGGGCUGCCUCCGGGCGCCCAACCUCCACCGUGACUACUAACACUGUUUGCUUCGGCGGGGAGCCCUCUCGGGGGCGAGCGCCGGGACUACGAACUUCAGCCUGAGAGUGAUGCAGUCUGAGUCUGAAUAUAAAAUCAGUCAAAACUUUCACAAUGGAUCUCUUGGUUCGCAUCGAUGAAGAACGCAGCGAACUGCGAUAAGUAAUGUGAAAUUGCAGAA